rnacentral:rRNA from 1 species
UACGUAGGGUGCAAGCGUUGUCCGGAAUUAUUGGGCGUAAAGGGCGCGUAGGCGGUCAGCACAAGUCAGUUGUGAAAUCUCCGGGCUUAACUCGGAAAGGUCAACUGAUACUGUGCGACUAGAGUGCGGAAGGGGCAACUGGAAUUCUCGGUGUAGCGGUGAAAUGCGUAGAUAUCGAGAGGAACACCUGCGGCGAAGGCGGGUUGCUGGGCCGACACUGACGCUGAUGCGCGAAAGCCAGGGGAGCGAACGGG